rnacentral:rRNA from 1 species
GAUGCAUAAUACUGCAAGUCGAACGCGAGAGGGGCUUCGGCCCCAAUUGAGUGGCAACGGGUGAGUAACACGUGGGUGAUCUACCUUCGAGUGGGGGAUAACGUUUCGAAAGGAACGCUAAUACCGCAUAACAUCCUGUCUUUAGACAGAUGGAGAUCAAAGCCGGGGACCGCAAGGCCUGGUGCUUGAAGAGGAGCCCGCGCCCGAUUAGCUAGUUGGUGGGGUAACGGCCUACCAAGGCGACGAUCGGUAGCCGGCCUGAGAGGGCGGACGGCCACACUGGGACUGAGACACGGCCCAGACUCCUACGGGAGGCAGCAGUAGGGAAUUGUUCGCAAUGGGCGCAAGCCUGACGACGCAACGCCGCGUGAAGGAUGAAGGUCUUCGGAUUGUAAACUUCUGUCGUGUGGGACGAACAUCUCUUGAGCAAAUACCUCGAGAGACUGACGGUACCACGAAAGGAAGCCCCGGCUAACUCUGUGCCAGCAGCCGCGGUAAUACAGAGGGGGCAAGCGUUGUUCGGAAUUACUGGGCGUAAAGGGCGCGUAGGCGGCUUGUUAAGUCAGACGUGAAAUCCCUCGGCUCAACCGGGGAACCGCGUCUGAUACUGGCGAGCUUGAAUUCGGGAGAGGGAUGUGGAAUUCCAGGUGUAGCGGGUGAAUGCGUAGAUAUCUGGAAGAACACCGGUGGCGAAAGCGGCAUCCUGGACCGAUAUUGACGCUGAGGCGCGAAGCCCAGGGGAGCAACGGGGAUAAAUACCCCGGGAGUCCUGGGCCUUAACCAUGAAUGCUUGGUGGGGGCGGGAAUCGAUUCCCUGCCGUGGCAAAACCUAAGCCAUUAGCCUUUCCCCCCGGGGAAAACGGGUCCCAGGGGUGAAACUCCAAGGGAUUGACGGGGGGCCCCCCAAAC